rnacentral:rRNA from 1 species
CCUACGGGAGGCAGCAGUGGGGAAUAUUGGACAAUGGGGGGAACCCUGAUCCAGCCAUGCCGCGUGUGUGAAGAAGGCCUUUUGGUUGUAAAGCACUUUAAGCGAGGAGGAGGCUACUUUAGUUAAUACCUGGAGAUAGUGGACGUUACUCGCAGAAUAAGCACCGGCUAACUCUGUGCCAGCAGCCGCGGUAAU